UAGGAAGGACAACCCUGGACGUUUUAGAAAAUGAAUUUAAAUACACUGAUUUUAUAAAGUUAUUUGAACCUCCCAUAGUCAUAGCUAGUUUUACAUAGGAUGUUUGGAGUAAAAACCUGGAAAGGAACACCAGCCUCCUGAGAUAGGUCUAAAAGAUUCAUGAGCCAUCCUUCAUGUCCCAGGAAGAUGUUGCUAUAGCUUUCAAAUACCUGUUGUUGUUGUAGUUUCCAAUUUAGGUAAAUAUGACGACUGGUUACAUGCAGCUCUCUUUAUUAUCGCCACCAGUUUUGACUCCUCCUUUGCCUGGAGCAAUCAGAUGCCUAUUUCCUAAUAUCAGUAAAGUAUUACCUAACUUAUUUACUCAAACUGAGCUAUCUGUUGACUCCCUAGAGCACUACUCAUUGGCCAAAAUACACUUGUAGGGAGUAUUUAUUUCUCAGCAGCACAGCAUUCCCUGUCAUCCAGGCAGUUAUAUCAGAAGUGGAUUUUGCUUCAUCAGUUGACGUGCAACGGGCAAGAAUAAGGAAAACACAUGACAUUUUUUUCUUUAUACAAGUACUUUCUCCUAUAUUCACUAAGGAGAUACAAACAAUAUAUGACUCACCAGUCCCGAGAUCCUAUAUAAAAAUGCAUCCCACACUCU